AAACCAACAGGGAUUGCCCCAGUAACGGCGAGUGAAGCGGCAACAGCUCAAAUUUGAAAUCUGGCCCCAGGCCCGAGUUGUAAUUUGCAGAGGAUGCUUUUGGCGCGGUGCCUUCCGAGUUCCCUGGAACGGGACGCCAUAGAGGGUGAGAGCCCCGUACGGUUGGACACCAAGCCUUUGUAAAGCUCCUUCGACGAGUCGAGUAGUUUGGGAAUGCUGCUCUAAAUGGGAGGUACAUUUCUUCUAAAGCUAAAUAUUGGCCAGAGACCGAUAGCGCACAAGUAGAGUGAUCGAAAGAUGAAAAGCACUUUGAAAAGAGGGUUAAACAGCACGUGAAAUUGUUAAAAGGGAAGCGCUUGUGACCAGACUUGCGUCCGGUGAAUCACCCAGCUCUCGCGGCUGGGGCACUUCGCCGGCACAGGCCAGCAUCAGCUUGCCGUCGGGGACAAAAGCUUCAGGAACGUGGCUCCUCUCGGGGAGUGUUAUAGCCUGUUGCACAAUACCCUUCGGCGGGCUGAGGUACGCGCUCCGCAAGGAUGCUGGCGUAAUGGUCAUCAGCGAC
rnacentral:rRNA from 1 species